GAUGAACGCUGGCGGCGUGCCUAAUACAUGCAAGUCGAGCGAACAGACGAGGAGCUUGCUCCUCUGACGUUAGCGGCGGACGGGUGAGUAACACGUGGAUAACCUACCUAUAAGACUGGGAUAACUUCGGGAAACCGGAGCUAAUACCGGAUAAUAUAUUGAACCGCAUGGUUCAAUAGUGAAAGACGGUUUUGCUGUCACUUAUAGAUGGAUCCGCGCCGCAUUAGCUAGUUGGUAAGGUAACGGCUUACCAAGGCAACGAUGCGUAGCCGACCUGAGAGGGUGAUCGGCCACACUGGAACUGGGACACGGUCCAGAGUCCUACGGGAGGCAGCAGUAGGGAAUGUGCCGCAAUGGGCGGAAGCUUGACGGAGCAACGCCGCGUGAGUGAUGAAGGUCUUCGGAUCGUAAAACUCUGUUAUUAGGGAAGAACAAAUGUGUAAGUAACUAUGCACGUCUUGACGGUACCGAAUCAGAAAGCCACGGCUAACUACGUG
rnacentral:rRNA from 1 species